GUGUUGGUGUAGAGCUGUUGUUGGAUGGAGCCUGUUGUGCCCCUACCAUUGGACCCAUCAACCUUGGGUAGCCUGACUGCAUCAGCAAAGGACUACGCAGUUCUAAGUGGGCUGGCGUAUCUGACCGAUGAUCCAGAGCCCUGUUUGACCAAGCUCGAGCAGUGCAGCAGGACUUCAACCUACUGGUGCACAGGGUCAGCCAUGACAGGGCAUUUCUCACCAGAUGUCUCAGCAGUGUUGUAAAGGUGGACCACUUCACAGCUGCUCU